rnacentral:rRNA from 1 species
AGUGAACGCUGGCGGUAGGCCUAACACAUGCAAGUCGAACGGCAGCACAGUAAUAGCUUGCUCUUACGGGUGGCGAGUGGCGGACGGGUGAGGAAUACAUCGGAAUCUACUUUUUCGUGGGGGAUAACGUAGGGAAACUUACGCUAAUACCGCAUACGACCUACGGGUGAAAGCAGAGGAUCUUCGGACCUUGCGCGAUUGAAUGAGCCGAUGUCGGGUUAGCUAGUUGGUGGGGUAAAGGCCCACCAAGGCGACGAUCCGUAGCUGGUCUGAGAGGAUGAUCAGCCACAUUGGAACUGAGACACGGUCCAGACUACUACGGGAGGCAGCAGUGGGGAAUAUUGGACAAUGGGCGCAAGCCUGAUCCAGCCAUACCGAGUGGGUGAAGAAGGCCUUCGGGUUGUAAAGCCCUUUUGUUGGGAAAGAAAAGCAGCAGGUUAAUACCACGCUGUUCUGACGGUACCCAAAGAAUAAGCACCGGCUAACUUCGUG